UACAGAGGGUGCAAGCGUUAAUCGGAAUUACUGGGCGUAAAGCGUGCGUAGACGGUUGCGUAAGUCAGAUGUGAAAGCCCCGGGCUCAACCUGGGAAUUGCAUUUGAGACUGCGUAGCUAGGGUGCGGAAGAGGGAAGCGGAAUUUCCGGUGUAGCGGUGAAAUGCGUAGAUAUCGGAAGGAAUACCAGUGGCGAAAGCGGCUUCCUGGUCCAGCACCGACGUUCAGGCACGAAAGCGUGGGGAGCAAACAGG
rnacentral:rRNA from 1 species